UUUAGCCAUGUUGGACGUUAUAGCAAGUUUACGUGGUAUUUCGUCGCUUCGCAUAAUUACAGAUAAUUAGUAGACUUUUUCUAACGUACACUCUCUUCCAAUUUAUCUAUCGAUAACAGCGUGAUUUUUACGGGACCGCGUUCGCAAGUCGGCACGUACUUUUGCGUAUUCUAUUUUCUUGCUUUAUUUUCAUAACAUUUUUUUUCUCUGACAUUGAUGCUUUUACACUACCUCCUAUUCAAUAAUUUUGUGUUUAUAAUUUUGAUCGAUCGAUAUCUUGUAUUACAUUGAAUAUUCAUAUAUACUUAUAUUUAUGCUUGUAUAUAUAAUGUAUGAAGUAGAAGCAGUGUUUAUUCGUAAUACGUUUGAUUUAUUUUUAUAUCUCAAAAUUAUCUGAUUAAAUAAAAUUAAAUUCAAUAUAAAUAAGCGAUGUAGAGUUUAUGCUAGUUCAUAUUCUUCAUGAUCCUGGGGGAGGAUGUUCAUCGUGCAAAAGAUCAACAAAGUGUACUCUAAAUAAUCAAUGCAAUCAUGCGGGUGAUAAUGAAUCGAGUGUUGUACCGUUUAAAUAAUAUAACAAUCAUGAAUUAGAAGGAUCCUUCGUUGGUUACUUUAAUUUCGCCCACGUUUAGCGAUUUAAGUUUUAGUAUCAUAUGCACUUAAAUCGACUGCGAGCAAAGCAGUCAUAGAGUUAUGAUUUGUUCUUAUAAAGUUUAAAAUUAUUUUUCUUUUUAUAUUGUUACACUAUUCGCGUAAUAGAGUCAGUGCAUCGAAGAAAAUGAUCAAAAAAUAAAUACAUUUUCUUCUAUAAAAGCAUAUUGAAAGCUCAUCGUGCAACAAAGUCUAGAAUAAUCAAUGCAAUCAUGCGGGUGAUAAUGAAUCGAGUAUAGUACCGUUUAAGUAAUAUAACAAUCAUGAUUUAGAAGGAUUCUUCGUUCGUUACUUUAAUUUCGUCCACGUUUAACGAUUUAGUAUCAUAUGCAGUUAAAUCGACUGCGAGCAAAGCAGUCAGUCAUAGAGUUAUGAUUUGUUCCUAUAAAGUCUAAAAUUACUUUUCUUUUUAUACUGUAUUACACUAUUCGCUUAGUAGAGUCAGUGCAUCGAAGAAAAUGAUCAAAAAAUAAAUACAUUUUCUUCCAUAAAAGCAUAUUGAAAUGAUGAAGUACCUAGUGUUCGAUAAUGUGUCGAGCAAAGGACCUACCCUUCAAAUAUCAAUGCAACACUCAUGGAUCCACACGGUCACCAGGACAAAGGACCAAACAUGAGAUUGCUUCAACAUUUCGAACGAACUAUCCAGACAUACCCACGAUCAAUAAGAAUAUUGCUUUCCCUUUCCAUGUACCUUUUACUUAAAUUCCUCUUUUUUCAUUUUCCUUUCCUAAUUUGUUAAUGCCUUCUUGGAUAGUUCGAGAGAAAUAUAAAGACGGUGGUAUCCAAGCAUUCGCAUUCAUCAGCAGGACAACCGACUCUUACGAGUAUUACUGGCUACGCCUUUAACGGAGGUAACCGGCACGAUGGAAAUCGUUACUACAUCCAUAAUUGUAUCAUACUUCAACAAAUAUACUGUGAUAACUUCAAUUCAUGAUAAAAUUCAUUAACGUGCAUUUAUCUCACGAGUUCCACGGGAUCUUUCAAAAAAAUUCCCGUUCUCCCAUUAAUUCGCGAGAACCGGAUCCGCGAACCUGGUCCGGUGCAGGACGCGUACCUGAAAAUGCUCUCGUACGACGCAACCUCGUUAAAUAGAGAUUCUGCUUCAUUUUAUCUAAAAGGAAACGUACGAAUCUUAUACGUAAUUUAAUUUUUUAAUGCUCGAAUAAGUAAAUAAUUUCUUGAAAGAUCUAUACAAAUUUGAACCAAAGAUAGUAAUAAUAGUAGUCAUAAAAUAUUAAAUAAUAGAAAAAAAUAAUCCUGGUAUGUAUAUUAAAUUUGUCUAAUUAAUAAUAUUGUAUUAAUGAUAUUGAUCUUUAAUUUAGGGUAUAUAAGCGCCUGCACAACGGAUCUCAGGGGUUGUAUUUUUUUUCCGACAGUUAUUUUCGGUUAUUUUUUUCGAAAGUUAUUCUCGACAGUUAUUGUAAAGUAUUAAUAAAUUAAUAUUGUUAAGUUAAAGUCAGUAUGUUUUAAAUAACCCCGUCGGCUUAACUUCCAACAAAAUUAUUCUCGCGAGUUUCAAGAACUUUCUGCCGGGCAGUCAACAAGUUCAAAGCUAAGAAAAGCUAUCUGUCCAUAAGAAAUGAAUUCUUAACUAUAAGUUAUUC